CCUACGGGUGGCAGCAGUGAGGAAUAUUGGUCAAUGGACGAGAGUCUGAACCAGCCAAGUAGCGUGAAGGAUGACUGCCCUAUGGGUUGUAAACUUCUUUUAUAUGGGAAUAAAACGUUCCACGUGUGGGAUUUUGUAUGUACCAUAUGAAUAAGGAUCGGCUAACUCCGUGCCAGCAGCCGCGGUAAUACGGAGGAUCCGAGCGUUAUCCGGAUUUAUUGGGUUUAAAGGGAGCGUAGGUGGAUUGUUAAGUCAGUUGUGAAAGUUUGCGGCUCAACCGUAAAAUUGCAGGUGAAACUGGCAGUCUUGAGUACAGUAGAGGUGGGCGGAAUGCGUGGUGUAGCGGUGAAAUGCUUAGAUAUCACGAAGAACUCCGAUUGCGAAGGCAGUUCACUGGACUGCAACUGACACUGAGGCUCGAAAGUGUGGGUAUCAAACAGGAUUAGAUACCCCUGUAGUC
rnacentral:rRNA from 1 species